UACGGAGGAUCCGAGCGUUAUCCGGAUUUAUUGGGUUUAAAGGGUGCGUAGGUGGUUUGAUAAGUCAGCGGUGAAAGUUUGCAGCUUAACUGUAAAAAUGCCGUUGAAACUGUCGGACUUGAGUGUAAAUGAGGUAGGCGGAAUGCGUGGUGUAGCGGUGAAAUGCAUAGAUAUCACGCAGAACUCCGAUUGCGAAGGCAGCUUACUAAGCUACAACUGACACUGAAGCACGAAAGCGUGGGGAUCAAACAGGAUUAGAUACCCU
rnacentral:rRNA from 1 species